GACAGCAGCCAUAUCACCCUGCAACUCACAACUGGCAACCCACUGAAGCUAAACAGGUGUGAGCCUGGUCAGUACCUGGAUGGGAGAACUCCUGGGAAAAACUAAGGUUGCUGCUGGAA
ensembl:rRNA 5S_rRNA 5S ribosomal RNA